CUGGAAUGUAUUCCUGAAACGGUCAAUAUGUUCUCUCUGCAGUUUUUUCUGGUCUUGUUUUCCUUUAGUAAUUUUGGCUGGAAUUGUAGGAUUUCAUAGUACUCCUCAUCUGAUAUAUUUUACAGAGAUUUAAUAAUAGAGGAAUCCAAGUUGGGGAAGAUGAGCUGAAGAGAUGUCAAGACAGUUCUUAGCCUGUAUUAAAGGAUCAGCAAAGAAAUCAUCAUUGAAUGGUCUCAGAGGUGCCGAAGAGUAUUGCUCCUGAAAUCUCCUCCAUCCAUGGCUGAAAUUUAAAGGCUGUGAAACACCGGGAAAUCUAGUCAUGCAAAUGACUCCAGAACAUAGCCCCUGAAAUAGCCUUCUGCCUGGGAAAGAACUGGGUUAUUAAUUUACAUGCUGUAUUUGGUACUAAAAUGGAGUUUUGAAAUAAUGUUUGAUUGGAAGACAGAAGAUGACAGCCUGUGUCAGACAAAUGAUUCUGUGUCACCAGAGAACGAGGUUACUGUUAGUACUUGACUGUCAAUACUUACCCAAAAUGCUGCAGAACUCCACUUUUCUUCACGCUGACUGUAACACAGCAGUCCUAUUUUCAUACUGAAAUCUGAAUCAUGUUGCUUCUUCAUAUGCUGAGAUUUAAGGAGCAUCAAGACCAUAAGAACAGACUUGUGAUUUGACAAACUGAGUUCAAACUCCCAUCGGUCAGCCAAGCAGCUGGGUAUCCUUGGAGAAUUACUUACCUUCUCAAAGCCUCUGGUUCCAUGAUUACAAAUAGCUAAAUCCUCACCGCAGCUACUUUGGGAUUAAUCCUAUAAAAGAAUUUUGACAAGUCAUGUGAAGAAACACAUUUUUUUUCCUGUAAAUAAACCACCAAAAAUCCACCACAACAUACUGGAGAAAUACAGAUUUGCAGUGCCAGCUACUUAUUCUUCAAGGGACCAGCAUCAACAUGGGUCUGAGGAGCUUGGGGAUGUUCUUCCAGAGAGACUGAACUUCAUGCAGAACUGUACAAAGUGAGAGCCAGAUACAACGCUGGUGAAGAAUUCUGUUCCAGCACAAAGAACAAAAAAGGAAGAAAAGAGAUUGUUUCUAUUUGUUGCUGGAGACUACAGGUAGUAUGUAUGUGGGAGGAAUAAAAAUCCUGCAGACUGAUAAAAAGGCUCAGUGCUACGGACCUUCU
rnacentral:lncRNA from 1 species